rnacentral:rRNA from 1 species
GUCGAACGGGAAGCUUGAAUUCGUUCAAGUGGAGAGUGGCGCACGGGUGAGUAACACGUAGCUAACCUGCCCUCGAGAGCGGGAUAACGCUUCGAAAGGAGUGCUAAGACCGCAUAAGCUCACAUUGAGUAAGUAGUUGUGAGAAAAGGCUGAGGUGCUUGAGGACGGGGCUGCGGUCCAUCAGCUAGUUGGUGGGGUAAGAGCCUACCAAGGCGACGACGGAUAGGGGGCCUGAGAGGGUGGUCCCCCACACUGGGACUGAGACACGGCCCAGACUCCUACGGGAGGCAGCAGUGAGGAAUAUUGCACAAUGGGCGCAAGCCUGAUGCAGCGACGCCGCGUGGGUGAAGAAGGUUUUCGGAUCGUAAAGCCCUUUUCUGUGUGACGAGAAAGGACGGUAGCACAGGAAUAAGUCUCGGCUAACUACGUGCCAGCAGCCGCGGUAAAACGUAGGAGGCAGAGCGUUAUCCGGAGUUACUGGGCGUAAAGAGCGUGUAGGCGGGGAUGCAAGUCCGUUGUGAAAGCUCCCGGCUAAACUGGGAGAAGUCAGUGGAGACUGCAUACCUAGAGAGCAUUACAGGGAAGCGGAAUUCCGGGUGUAUUGGUGAA